UCACAACAAAUCAAAAAUUCAAAAGCUUUGACAACGAAAUCCCUCCUAUUUGCUUUCAGCUCAGCCCAGUAUUUAUAUCUCAAAUUAAAGAGACUCAGAACAAAAGUUCAGAGUAAAGCCCAAGAAGGUAAAAGCUCUAAAGGAUCAGUUUUUCCAAGGCUACCUUGUCUGCUCGACUCUCUCUGAAACGGGUUUGAUUGGAUUGGAAAUAGCAGAAUAAAAGAUGGGAGAUAGAGAAAUAGAUCGGCGUACCGCUGAAGAAGACGAUCGGAGUUGUAAAAGGUAAUUGCUCCUCUUAUGCAGCAUGCAACCGACCAAGUUUGGGAGGUUAGAUUAUGUUAAAAGAUCUACUCGGCUGGACAGGUACCAUUGCCCAGAUCGUGAGAACCCCGCUGAGAUUUUAGCUGAUCUUAUAUCUGUUGACUACAGCUUUGCUGAAAGUGUCUACUCCUCUCAGAAAAGAAAGAUGCUCUUGUUGAAUCAUUUUCACAACAAUCAUCACUAGUUCUGUAUGCAACUUCGAUUACAUUAAGGGAAAUCUCCAAGAACAGCACCGGGUUGAGCAUGAAGAGUAGAGUUUAGAAGAAGGGAGGUUGGUGGAGGCAAUUCUGGUUGCUCCUAAGGCUUGCGUGGAUGCAGGUAAAUUUUUACUAGCAUGCUUCAUAGUUACUUUCAUCAAAAUAGAAUUCAACAUUACUAAUAUCAUAGUUGCUUCAUAGUUACUGGAUCAAAUCAUUGAGGUUUUGUGAGCUCCCCAUUUCUCUUUAAUUUUGGGUUCAAUUUGGAAAUUACCUCACUUAAUGGUUGUCUUUUGUCAUGCUAUGUCUAUGUAUACACUGAUUAUACAGUGAAUCAAGUUGUAGACUUCAUGAUUUUCUUCUGUCAAUAGGUAAUUAUAGUGUAAUAACCAGUGAAUUAAGUUAAUGUUACCCUAAGUUGUAUUGGUCUGGCUUAAAUUGCAGCCUAAGCAGGGUGGCUUCCUUAUACAGGUUUUGCAUUUCCUUUUUUUCUUUUCAUAUGGCAAACAAAGGGAAAUGAAAGGUAAAUCAUAUGUCCUGCUUUUUAUAAAUGAAACUGUGAAUUGAUUAGACCACAGUGCAGUACUAAACCAACUUGAACUGAUCGGGCACUAUAGCCUUGAACGGAUCGAUUGUCAUUUUCAGGAGGAUAUGGGGCAGAUGCAGACAAUGAUUCAACUACCUUUUGUAACUUUCAGUAUGCUAAAGAACAGCUUGAGUAAUUCAUGGUUUGUUCGAUUCAACAUAGUAUAAGUAUGUUAUGUGAUUUGGUGUAGUUUAUGUAUACCAAACUGGAAUGUUUAUGAGUGGCAUUUUGUAUGUUUAUGACAUUUUGUAUUGCACAAUUUCAUUACAAUAUUAAUAUAUCUUAAUAACUUUUGCA